AAAUAAGAAGCAAUAUAGCAAUUAGUUUCGACCUAAUCUUAGGUAAUUACAAUCUUUACCCUUAUUUA
rnacentral:tRNA from 1 species